rnacentral:rRNA from 1 species
AUUGAACGCUGGCGGCAUGCCUUACACAUGCAAGUCGAACGGCAGCACGGGAGCAAUCCUGGUGGCGAGUGGCGAACGGGUGAGUAAAGUAUCGGAACGUGCCCAGUCGUGGGGGAUAACGUAGCGAAAGUUACGCUAAUACCGCAUACGAUCUAUGGAUGAAAGCGGGGGAUCGCAAGACCUCGCGCGAUUGGAGCGGCCGAUAUCAGAUUAGGUAGUUGGUGGGGUAAAGGCUCACCAGGCCAACGAUCUGUAGCUGGUCUGAGAGGACGACCAGCCACACUGGGACUGAGACACGGCCCAGACUCCUACGGGAGGCAGCAGUGGGGAAUUUUGGACAAUGGGGGCAACCCUGAUCCAGCAAUGCCGCGUGCAGGAAAAAGGCCUUCGGGUUGUAAACUGCUUUUGUACGGAACGAAACGGUCUGGGUUAAUACCCUGGGCUAAUGACGGUACCGUAAGAAUAAGCACCGGCUAACUACGUGCCAGCCGCCGCAGUAA